UACGAAGGGGGCUAGCGUUGCUCGGAAUCACUGGGCGUAAAGCGCACGUAGGCGGGUCUUUAAGUCGGGGGUGAAAUCCUGGAGCUCAACUCCAGAACUGCCUUCGAUACUGGAGAUCUUGAGUCCGGGAGAGGUGAGUGGAACUCCGAGUGUAGAGGUGAAAUUCGUAGAUAUUCGGAAGAACACCAGUGGCGAAGGCGGCUCACUGGCCCGGUACUGACGCUGAGGUGCGAAAGCGUGGGGAGCAAACAGG
rnacentral:rRNA from 1 species